UAGUGAACCAGUACCGUGAGGGAAAGGUGAAAAGCACCCCGGAAGGGGAGUGAAACAGUUCCUGAAACCGUGUGCCUACAAGUAGUUAGAGCCCGUUAAUGGGUGAUAGCGUGCCUUUUGUAGAAUGAACCGGCGAGUUACGAUUUGUUGCAAGGUUAAGCGGAAAAAGCGGAGCCGUAGCGAAAGCGAGUCUGAAUAGGGCGCAUAAGUAACAGGUCGUAGACCCGAAACCAGGUGAUCUACCCAUGUCCAGGAUGAAGGUAAGGUAAUACUUACUGGAGGUCCGAACCCACGCACGUUGAAAAGUGCGGGGAUGAGGUGUGGGUAGCGGAGAAAUUCCAAUCGAACUUGGAGAUAGCUGGUUCUCUCCGAAAUAGCUUUAGGGCUAGCCUCGAGGUAAAGAGUCAUGGAGGUAGAGCACUGUUUGGACUAGGGGCCCUUCUCGGGUUACCGAAUUCAGAUAAACUCCGAAUGCCAUGUACUUAUACUCGGGAGUCAGACUGCGAGUGAUAAGAUCCGUAGUCGAAAGGGAAACAGCCCAGACCACCAGUUAAGGUCCCCAAAUAUAUGUUAAGUGGAAAAGGAUGUGGGGUUGCUUAGACAACCAGGAUGUUGGCUUAGAAGCAGCCACCAUUGAAAGAGUGCGUAAUAGCUCACUGGUCGAGUGACCCCGCGCCGAAAAUGUACCGGGGCUAAACAUAUUACCGAAACUGUGGAUGAACCGCUUUAGAGGUUCGUGGUAGGAGAGCGUUCUAAGGGCGGUGAAGUCAGACCGGAAGGACUGGUGGAGCGCUUAGAAGUGAGAAUGCCGGUAUGAGUAGCGAAAGAAGGGUGAGAAUCCCUUCCACCGAAUAUCUAAGGUUUCCUGAGGAAGGCUCGUCCGCUCAGGGUUAGUCGGGACCUAAGCCGAGGCCGAUAGGCGUAGGCGAUGGACAACAGGUAGAGAUUCCUGUACCAGUGCUAAUUGUUUAACCGAUGGGGUGACACAGAAGGAUAGGGAAUCGCACGAAUGGAAAUGUGCGUCCAAGCAGUGAGUGUGAGAAGUAGGCAAAUCCGCUUCUCGCGAAGCAUGAGCUGUGAUGGGGAAGGAAAUUAAGUACGGAAGUUCCUGAUUUCACGCUGUCAAGAAAAGCCUCUAGGAAGAGUAGUACUGCCCGUACCGCAAACCGACACAGGUAGAUGAGGAGAGAAUCCUAAGGUGAGCGAGAGAAC
rnacentral:rRNA from 1 species